GAUUCUAUUCUGAAUUUGAAUCUGAAGAGGUAGAGAGACUGUGGCUGGCCGUCGAUACAAGACUGCAUGUGCACGUCCCCUCACCUUUUCUAAUUCUAAUUCUAUCUACACACACCUGUGCAUCUAUUGUAGAUCCCCCUUUGAAAGAGGGAGGGAACUAUGCUUUUUAUCACAUCACACAUAAUGGAUGUCCAGAAUGGAAUGGAAUUUCAUCGAUCAUUGAUUUGAUCAACGAUGAAAACAAAUGAAAUGGAAUACAACUUUCAGCAACGGAUCUCUUGGCUCUCGCAUCGAUGAAGAACGCAGCGAAUUGCGAUAAGUAAUGGGAAUUGCAGAUUUCCAGUGAAUCAUCGAAUCUUUGAACGCACCUUGCGCUCCUUGGUAUUCCGAGGAGCAUGCCUGUUUGAGUGUCAUUUAAUUCUCAACCAUUCUACUGGUCUUCUUUCUUGGAUUGAUCUUGAUCUAUGAGAGGAGAGGGGGAAGUAUGGCUUGGAGUUGGGGGUUGCUGGCAGGAACUGUCAGCUCUCCUUAAAUGCAUUAACAAUCGAGUUGGCUAGUCUUUGACGUGCACGGCUUCAGACGUGAUAAUGAUCGUCUUAACUGGAGUGUCUUUUCUAGACUAUGGUACAUAGUAGAUUGCUUCUAAUCA
rnacentral:rRNA from 2 species